GUGUCAGCAGCCGCGGUAAUACGGAGGGUGCAAGCGUUAUCCGGAUUCACUGGGUUUAAAGGGUGCGUAGGUGAGUUGCCAAGUCCGUGGUGAAAUCUCCGAGCUUAACUCGGAAACUGCCGUGGAUACUGGUAAUCUUGAAUAUCGUGGAGGUAAGCGGAAUAUGUCAUGUAGCGGUGAAAUGCUUAGAUAUGACAUAGAACACCGAUAGCUAAGGCAGCUUGCUACACGAUUAUUGACACUGAGGCACGAAAGCGUGGGGAGCAAACAGGAUUAGAAACCCUCUUAGUCC
rnacentral:rRNA from 1 species